UAUACGACAGCAAAAAAAUUUUGUGGUCGUAUAUUGGUAUGACGUCGUCGUCGUCGUCGUCGUCGUCGUCGUCGUCGUCGUCCGGCGUCGUCGUCGUCGUCGUCGUCGUCCGGCGUCGUCGUCGUCCGGCGUCGUCGUCCGAAUACAUAUUGGUUUUCGCACUCUAACUUUAGUUUAAGUGAAUGGAUCUUUUUGAAAUUUGAUCAUAAGGUUAAAUACCACAAAAGGAAGGUUGGGAUUGAUUUUGGGGGUUAUGGUACCAACAGUUAAGGAAUUAGGGGCCAAAAAGGGGCCAAAAAUGAGCAUUUUCUAGUUUCCAGACAAUAACUGUGGAACGGUGUAUGGAUCUCUCUGAAAUUAUACUACAAGUUUCCAUACCACAAAGGGAUGGUUAGGAUUUGCUUUGGGGGGUUAUGGCUCAAACUGUUUAGGAAUUAGGGGCAAAAAAGGGGGAAAAACAAGGUUGUCCUGGUUAAUGGACAAAUACUUUAGUACAAAACAUAAUUUAAAGCAGUGUAAGGGAGAUAAAUCAAAUACAUCAUUGAAAUUAUCUCCCUUACACUGCUUUUAAAUUAUGUAUAAAGUAAUGGUUAAUGAACAAUAAAGAUAAUCUAAAACAGUGUAAGGGAGGUAAUCCAAAUACAACGUUUUGGUUACUUCCCUUACACUGCUUUUAAAUUAUGUUUAAAGAAAUGCAUAUUUAUAAAGGAAGACCAGUAAAAAUAUCUGCAAAUGUUUUCAUCUUUUUUUUUUACAAAAAAAUCCAUAUGAAAGAUUUGACACUAUAUUUUUUAUUAAUUCUAUUAUAAAAUAGAUUAAGUUAGCACUAUGGUAAAUUUAAAUGGGUAAUUAUGGUUGCCAACUCCAUUGGAAAUUUGAAUUGAGAUUAUGACCAUAUCUUGAGGGAAAGAAUUUUUUUGGGGGAAAAAGGGGGGGGGGAUAAAAAGAAAUUGUGGGGGGCCAAUUUUUUCUCAUUUCAGAUUUCAGAAAUUAAAAAGAAUUAUUCUUCAAAUAUUAUUUUUUUUUCAAAUUUCAAAUAUUGAAAAAUUUCAAGAAGUAAUCUUUAAUUGCACAGUAUGGCGCAUUAGAUUUGUAAAAUCUUUGAUCACAUUUAUUUAUUUGUUAUGCCGAAUCUAACAGUGUAUUUAGAUUUUUAAUUUUGGGUCCAGUUUUCAAAUUGGUCUACAUUAAUGUCCAAAGGGUCCAAAAUUAAACUUUGUUUGAUUUUAGCAAAAAUUGAAUAUAUGAGGUUCUUUGAUAUGCUGAAUCUAAACAUGUAUUUAGAUUUUUGAUUUUUGGCCCAGUUUUCAAGUUGGUCCAAAUUGGGGUCCAAAAUUAAACUUUGUUUGAUUUCAACAAAAAUUGAAUAUAUGGGGUUCUUUGAUAUGCUGAAUCUAACCAUGUCUUUAGAUUUUUUAUUUGUGGACCCCGUUAUCUAAUUGGUUCAUAUUGAGGUCAAAAGGGUCCAAAAUUAAACUUUGUUUGAUUUCAUCUAAAAUUGAAUUAUUGGGGUUCUUUGAUAUUCCAAAUCUAACCGUGUAUUUAGAUUUUUAAUUUUAAGUCCCGUUUUUAUACGACCGCAAAAAAAUUUUUGUGGUCGUAUAUUGGUAUGACGUCAGCGUCGUCGUCGUCGUCGUCGUCGUCCGGCGUCGUCGUCCGAAUACACAUUGGUUUUCGCACUCUAACUUUAGUUUAAGUGAAUGGAUCUUUUUGAAAUUUUACCAUAAGGUUAAAUACCACAAAAGAAAGGUUGGGAUUGGUUUUGGGGGUUAUGGUACCAACAAUUAAGGAAUUAGGGGCCAAAAAGGGGCCAAAAAUAAGCAUUUUCUAGUUUCCAGACAAUAACUGUGGAACAGUGUAUGGAUCUCUCUGAAAUUAUACUACAAGUUUCCAUACCACAAAGGGAUGGUUAGGAUUUGCUUUGGGGGGUUAUGGCUCAAACCGUUUAGGAAUUAGGGGCAAAAAAGGGGGAAAAACAAGGUUGUCCUGGUUAAUGGACAAAUACUUUAGUACGAAACAUAAUUUAAAGCAGUGUAAGGGAGAUAAAUCAAAUACAUCAUUGAAAUUAUCUCCCUUACACUGCUUUUAAAUUAUGUAUAAAGUAAUGGUUAAUGAACAAUAAAGAUAAUUUAAAACAGUGUAAGGGAGGUAAUCCAAAUACAACGUUUUGGUUACUUCCCUUACACUGCUUUUAAAUUAUGUUUAAAGAAAUGCAUAUUUAUAAAGGAAGACCAGUAAAAAUAUCUGCAAAUGUUGCAUCAUUUUAUUUUACAAAAAAAUCUAUAUGAAAGAUUUGACACUAUAUUUUUAAUUCUAUUAUAAAAUAGAUUAAGUAAGCACUAUGGUAAAAUUAAAUGGGUAAUUAUGGUUGCCAACUCCAUUGGAAAUUUGAAUUGAGAUUAUGACCAUAUCUUGAGGGAAAGAAUUU